CACAGCAUCAAGAAAGGGAAAUGAUCACGAACACCUUCUGCUUCUCCUUCUUCGAGCUCUUCACGGGGUUUCACCCCUGAAGUUUUCCAGCAACGUCGGCUUAACGACUAUGAAUGCAAGUUUCAAAAAAUUGAUCGUCAACUCGUCUGACUUCAGGUGGAAGGUCGGAAGUCCUCCAAUGACUACAACUUCUACAUUGCCUCUCUCUCAGCGCAUCCUGGAUGAGCCGAUUCUAUUUUGAUUCAAG
rnacentral:lncRNA from 1 species